rnacentral:misc_RNA from 1 species
UACGGAGGGUGCAAGCGUUAAUCGGAAUUACUGGGCGUAAAGGGCACGCAGGUGGCUGAGAAAGUCGGAUGUGAAAGCCCCGGGCUUAACCUGGGAACUGCAUUCGAAACUACUUGGCUAGAGUAUGGGAGAGGGAAGCGGAAUUCCCGGUGUAGCGGUGAAAUGCGUAGAUAUCGGGAGGAACAUCAGUGGCGAAGGCGGCUUCCUGGCCCAAUACUGACACUCAUGUGCGAAAGCGUGGGUAGCAAACAGG